rnacentral:rRNA from 1 species
AUUGAACGCUGGCGGCAGGCCUAACACAUGCAAGUCGAACGAGUGGCGGACGGGUGAGUAAUGUCUGGGAACCUGCCUGAUGGAGGGGGAUAACUACUGGAAACGGUAGCUAAUACCGCAUACCAUCGGAUGUGCCCAGAUGGGAUUAGCUAGUAGGUGGGGUAACGGCUCACCUAGGCGACGAUCCCUAGCUGGUCUGAGAGGAUGACGAGCCACACUGGAACUGAGACACGGGCCUGACUCCUACGGGAGGCAGCAGUGGGGAAGAUGGCACAAGGGGCGCAAUCCUGAUGCAGCCAUGCCGCGUGUGUGAGGAAGGCCUGCGGGUUGUAAAGCACUUUUAGCGGGGAGGCGUUACCCGCAGAAGAAGCACCGGAUAACUCCGUGCCAGCAGCCGCGGUAAUUC